AGUACCACUGGUACUGAGAAGUAAUAGAAAGAAAUAAGCAGUAGUACUUUAAGAUUAUUCACUAUAAUUUCACUCACCUAUGUGCAGUUAUGGUAUACAUCUGUUUCUUGAACUGCACUAAUUUAUGUUCACCCUGUUACUGUAGGGUUGUGACAGUAGGAACAACAGUUUAAUAAAUCAUUGCACUCUGCUUUCGGGGGACCACUGCAUCUUGGUAAGAGAUGUUAAACUUCUUUAAGGAGCAUCAUUGCAGAGCGCCGCGACGCAUUUUUAUACGUGUAGGUAAACCUAUCUGUACCUGCAUCACAUGCAGAGAACAAAAUGAUUCAAAUGUUGAGAGGUCAAAAUGUUGCUGGAUAGCUCCAUCCAUCAGCUAAUGCAUGCAGAUCCAGAAAUGUUUGCUGAGCAGAAUUCUUCAUCCAGACAGGAGUCAGACCUCCGCCCUAUUUGGCCAGAAGAACAUAAAGCCAUUCCCUGGACUAUGGAGGAGAUUUCAGUUGUUUCUGUGCAACACAGAGAAUAUGAGAAAAGGCAGAGCUACAGGUCAGUUGUCUUGCAGAAAAUAUGUGCCCAGCCUAUGACACGUGACACUAAAAAGCUGCCCGUGGAGAACAUUAUGACCUACAAAUUGUCAUCUCAUUCAGUCAUCCUAACGAUGACCGUUAUUAGUUUCUUUUUAGGUGCACUUCGUUGAGCCUGGAGUCUAAAGGUGUGACUGCUCUCUGCAAAGAGUUGGUUUCUGCUGGGACAGUCUGCACUGUUGAUAUUGCUGUAAUAGAGUAAGUAUAUAACAUCAAAGGUAAGCACAGAUUCUAUUUCAACUUCUCAGAACUGUCACAGAGCAAAAGCUAAUUUAAUUUUGCUAGUCACUGAAAGUGACUCACCACAAGCAACUAACUUUGGCAAAUCAAUGAAUAAACAGGCAAAAACCAAGCUUUGUGUGUUACAGUUAGAAAACCAUUUGCUUAAGUUAUUUCAGGAACAUAAGGAAAAUAUAAAGAUAACAAAUUUCAGAUUUACUUUAGCUAUCAAGCCUUUUGGACAGGGUAGAUGAAUAGCGCUGGGUAUGUCGCUUGUCCAAGAGGUUUGCCUACACAAUCUGUCAGUGUUUCACUUUGCUUUAUUACGUUAACUAUUAUCUACUAAUACCCAGAAAGCCCAGAGAAUUAUAGCCCCCCUGUGCUGGGCAAUGUCAAGCAAAUGUAUACUGUAGGAGACAGUCUGCAUUUCAGAGAGACUGUGCUCUGCACAGGCACUGUGCUGGAGGAACAAAACAAAGCCCUCCUAUCCUGCUCACAGUCCAAGUGACGCAGCUCAGGGCCAGGAAGUGUCCAUAGUUAUACAGCUGUGUUCCUGCCAUGUCCCUUCAGCUCGAGGAAGAGGUUCACAUCGAGUGCUUUAGAGGGAAAACAUCAGAUGCAAGAUUUCUGCUAGAGCAAGUUUAAGAAUUUGUGGAAAAAAUGAAUUGGCUGUAUGUGAUACUGCUGAUGGUCUCCAGAAUAUCACUUCCGAAACCAAAGGCUCUUUCAAAUAUGCAUGAAAAUGUUUCCAGCUGUAGAACAAGCAAAGGCAGUGACAGAGCCUUUAUUUGAGAAAUAGGCACAAUAGGAAAAGAUAUCAGAAAGGAAUUAACUCACCCCUCCCGGUAACAGUUUGGAGAAAGGGACAAACUGAGGAAUGUGACCCUCCCCCGUUCGUACCAUCGCGCCGCCAGAGAGAAGGGUGGGGGCAAAGGGGGACCCGCGCAGACUCAGAUUGCACAGGAAGCAUUGCAGAGACAGAAGGGGUGGCUCCAGACCGCACCCCCCACCUCCCGCUCCAGGCACCCACAUACUCACGUAGCCCACCCAUUGGUUCAGGCUGUGACCUUGGAAUUCCACUACACCAGCCUUCUUCCGAAUUCCCAUCCAAACUGUUUAAAGAAUAGAGUUACAGAGUACUUGUGCUGAUUUUAUGUAUAAAACAUAUAUAUGUUCUACACAUAACUGCUAAAUGUAGGAUUAUAAAUUCAGUGCCAUUAAACAGAUUUGCUGCCUACUGCUUCUCUGUAAAUCAAGGCAUUUUUAUUAUUGUAAUAACUGUGGAUUUCUUGUGACAGUAACCUUUCAGAAAGUCAUCUUUCUUUAGGAAUAGGAUCCUAAUUACUGAAUUUCAAAGGAAGGAAGCAUUAGUGUUCUCAUCUGUAUAAAAGGUGGGCCUGAUAAGGAAAAAACAGAUUUGCUAAGGGUUGCUUAAGAGCUAGUAAUCUCCUAUGUGUGUAUCUUUUAAAUCUCUUUCUUACUUUACUUCUCAAGGUUGCAAAAAAUAAUGAAUGUUAAUAACCUGGAUUCUUUGAAAAAACAUGUUAAAUGUAAAUAAUUCUAAAGCUUUGUUUUGUGCAGAGUUUUUUUUCUGUGUCAUAUAUAGAAAAAUAGAAAUGCUUGUUUCAUUCACAAAAGGAUUCAGAUGAUACUUCCCUAUGUCAAUUUACAAGUAUAUAAGAUAAUAUUGAAGGGAGUGUAUAAAUAAGAGGGGGAAUGACUGUUUACAUGGG